UACGUAGGCAGCAAGCGUUGUUCGGAAUUACUGGGCGUAAAGAGUGUGUAGGCGGUGCUCUAAGUUCGGUGUGAAAUCUCCCGGCUCAACUGGGAGGGUGCGCCGAAAACUGGAGUGCUGGAGCGCGGGAGAGGAAAGCGGAAUUCCUGGUGUAGCGGUGAAAUGCGUAGAUAUCAGGAGGAACACCGGCGGUGUAGACGGCUUUCUGGACCGUAGCUGACGCUGAGACACGAGAGCGUGGGUAGCAAACAGG
rnacentral:rRNA from 1 species